AGCACAAAGAAAGCUUUCUAUCAGUGCGCAGUGUAACGACGCACACGGUUCGACUGUUUGACUGAAUCUCUCCUAACCUAACACACAAAAUGUCACGAAUUUGUCAAGUUUCAAGUCAUAUUUUGUUUAGUAUAAUAAUUACAUUCAUUUAGUUACGCAACUUGUUUAUAGCGAUAAUUGUAGAAAAGUGUAGAAAAAUAACACCAUGACGAAGGUUACCAAAUAGCAUAUCUUACAAAAUCUGAGGACAAUAAUAAGGAUCGUUUAGCAAGGUUAAAAUAAUUAUUUUACUAAAUUAAGACAUUAACAUAUCCAUGUGUUCGACAUAACCUCACUUCUUAAAUCUCUUAAAUUAGUCGGUGGAGAGGAUUAGCUCGAGGAUGAUUGUCUGAAUAUGUAAGUCACUACAUAUAUAAUAGCUAUAGAGAUAAUAGCAGAUCAUGCUGCUAAACAAGCAAGAUUGCAGGAUAGUGUAGAUGCUCUGAAUGGUAGUAUGGCUGUCAUACUACGAUACAUUAGUGAUGUUCAGAACCCGAUCACUCAGGCAACGACAAUUAACAUGUCGUUGCAUAAUCAAGUGGACCUAAUCCUGCCUUUAAAGACUCUUGAUGAGUUCAAAGCGAUGGAACAGCGACUGAAAGAGGAUACAGAGCUCUGCACAGAAUAUAUGUUGUGCGCAAACAACACACCAGGAUCUGCGACAGCACUUUCCAGAAGGUAGUCUCGGACUGGUUUCGAUAUGCUCGGCAGCGCCAUGUCCGAGCUAAACACUAGACUUAAAACAUUCUUAGUCUCUAGACCACCAACCCGGAUAAAUGGACAAUGUGAGUUUGUUUCCAUGUCAUUACAGUUUCAUUAUAGAAAUUACAUAUAUUUUUUUUUUACAGGAACUCUGAAUUUCAAGUAUGUGGUAAAUGUAAGUAUGUGUCCAUUAUAUAUACAUAACCUAAUGAUAUUACAGGAAACUUUCUGCAUUUGUUCCAGGGUUCCUGGAUGCAAUAGUAGAAGAAUGGAUUGGAACGGAUUUAUUUGUCAUCGUUUAGGAUAAG